UACGUAGGGACCAAGCGUUGUUCGGAUUUACUGGGCGUAAAGGGCGCGUAGGCGGCGUGUUAAGUCACUUGUGAAAUCUCUGAGCUUAACUCAGAACGGUCAAGUGAUACUGAUGUGCUAGAGUGCAGAAGGGGCAACCGGAAUUCUUGGUGUAGCGGUGAAAUGCGUAGAUAUCAAGAGGAACACCUAUGGCGAAGGCAGCUCGCUGGGACGUUACUGACGCUGAGACGCGAAAGCGUGGGGAGCAAACAGG
rnacentral:rRNA from 1 species